rnacentral:rRNA from 1 species
GACGAACGCUGGCGGCGUGCCUAAUACAUGCAAGUCGAACGCAGUGGGGACGGGUGAUUAACACGUGGGUAACCUCCCAUCAGAGGGGAUAACACUUGGAAACAGGUGCUAAACCGAUACUGAUGGAUGGACCCGCGGUCCAUUAGCUAGUUGGUGAGGUAACGGCGCACCAAGGCCACGAUGCAUAGCCGACCGAGGAGGGUGAUGGGCAAAACGGGGACUGAGACACGGCCCAGACGCCAACGGGAGGCAGCAGGAGGGAAUCUUCGGCAAUGGACGAAAGUCUGACCGAGAAACGCGGCGUGAGUGAAGAGGGUUUUCGGAUCGUAAAACUCUGUUGUUAGAGAAGCGGUAUCUAACCAGAAAGCCACGGCUAACUACGUGCCAGCAGCCGCGGUAAUAC